CUGUGUCCAUGUUUCCAUCCUCUCCCAAUUCCUUUUCCAAGCCCAGGUUGGCUUCCUCCAGGUUCCUGCAGCGCCUCGUAGCAACUUCCAGUGAAGCUUCUGCCACAGAAAGCUUUUUAA